CCUACGGGAUGCACCAGUGGGGAAUCUUGCGCAAUGGGCGAAAGCCUGACGCAGCCAUGCCGCGUGAAUGAUGAAGGUCUUAGGAUUGUAAAAUUCUUUCACCGGGGACGAUAAUGACGGUACCCGGAGAAGAAGCCCCGGCUAACUUCGUGCCAGCAGCCGCGGUAAUACGAAGGGGGCUAGCGUUGCUCGGAAUUACUGGGCGUAAAGGGAGCGUAGGCGGACAUUUAAGUCAGGGGUGAAAUCCCGGGGCCCAACCUCGGAAUUGCCUUUGAUACUGGGUGUCUUGAGUAUGAGAGAGGUGUGUGGAACUCCGAGUGUAGAGGUGAAAUUCGUAGAUAUUUGGAAGAACAUCAGUGGUGAAGGCGACACACUGGCUCAUUACUGACGCUGAGGCUCGAAAGCGUGGGGAGCAAACAGGAUUAGAUACCCCGGUAGUC
rnacentral:rRNA from 1 species